rnacentral:lncRNA from 1 species
CACUGUCACAAGUGCAGGAGAGAAGAGAAGUGCAUCAAACACCAACCUCUUUCUUUCAAGAGCAGCCUGCAGCCACCUGCAGUUUGCAGUGUGAAUUCUGAAGGAUGAAGAACUUGAGAUGAAAGGUUUUUCAGGAGGAGGCACUUCAUUCAGAAAGAACAGAUUUGCCACCAGAAACGCCUUUAAAAAGGGAAGUACUUGUUUCACCAAGCAAGAGUCUCUGAAAGGAUUCAUGACAAGAAUCCUGAAGCAGUAACAAAUCUGAAGCUCUGCCUGAGAAAUUCCAGGACCUAC